GCUGUAACAUAGAAAGAACAGCUCCUGCUCCUCGGCCCGCCCCCAACUGACUGCUCCACGCGCUACAGACAGCAGGGUCACGUGAUCGGCGCGCCGUCAACGUCCUUUAUCUCAGCAGCGGAAGGGGUUCUCACUAUGGCCAAUGAAUUGGAUGUGUUUGUUGGAAAUACCACUCUGAUUGAUGAAGAGGUUUAUCAGCUCUGGCUGGAUGGAUACUCAGUGAGUGAUGCUGUCAGUAUUCGUUUGAAGAGUGGCAUUUUAGAUCAGACUGGAGCUGGUCCCGAUGUCCUGGAGAGUGACACUAUGGACCAUUACAGAACAUUUCAGAUGCUUGAAAGACUUCUUCAUUACCCACCAAAACUGGUGCAGCAGUUGCUUUUUCAGAUCCCACCUUACAAGCAGAGCAUGCUGAUUGAGAGGUACUAUGCUUUUGAUGAGGCAUUUGUUCGGGAGGUUCUUGGAAAGAAACUAUCUAAAGGAACUAAGAAAGAUCUAGAUGACAUAAGUGCAAAGACUGGUGUGACCCUGAAGAGCUGCAGGAGACAGUUUGAUAAUUUUAAGCGAGUCUUUAAGGUGGUAGAAGAAAUGCGAGGUGCUCUAGUUGAAAAUAUUCAGCAGAAUUUCCUUUUGUCAGACAGACUUGCCAGAGAUUAUGCCGCAAUAGUUUUCUUUGCAAACAGUCGUUUUGAAACAGGCAAGAGAAAGCUCCAGUACUUGACAUUUGAGGAUUUUGCAACUUGUGCCGAGCAUCUAAUCCAAAACUGGACAUUAGGAGCCGUGGAUGUAGCCGAGGACAUGGACAUGGAUUUGGAUAAAGAAUUUUUACAGGAUCUGAAGGAACUGAAAAUACUAAUAACAGAUAAAGACCUUCUGGAUCAACAUAAGAGUUUAGUCUGUACAUCACUUAGAGGAAAAAUCGCAGUAUUUCAUGAAAUGGAAGCAAAUUUUAAGACACUCUCUAGGGCCUUGGUGAAUAUUGGAACAAGUCUUACCCAUAACAAAGAUGUGAGAGAUUUCUUUAUUGAUCUCGUGGAAAAGAAACUGCUGGACGGAUUACAAGAUCAAAGAGCACAGCCUAAUCAAGUUUAUAGAACCUUGUAAAGCUUCUAAUUGGUCUUCUUCAGAUGUUCAACUGUUUCUCACUCAGUACACAGCAUCUGCUCGUGCUCUUGAUGCCUUCAAGCAGCAGGCUCUUUGGGAGAGAUACAUGGGCACCUUACGAAGCUGUCUACUGAAAAUGUAUCACAGCUGAUUGUUUUCCUGAGUAAAUUCAUGGCCAACCCUGAAGAAAUUCAUAGUCGUCUAAUACCAUCACGUCUCACAAAUAUCACAGCAAUAGAUAGGAUAGGCCAAUCUUCACAGUCCCCCGCUAAUGUCUUUAAUUUUUUUUGUAUAUACUGUAUGUACAUAUGGAAUGUAUAGAGAUGUUUUUUAAUAAAUUUCCUUACAUCUG